GGAGUAACUAAAGUAACUAGUAACUAAAGCUGUAGCGGAGUAGAAGGAGAAAGUGGCAUGAAGAGAAAAAGAUCAAGUAAAGUACAAGUACCUCAACAUUUGGAGUGACAGUACAGUACUGGAGUACAUGUACUUAGUUACAUUCCAC